rnacentral:rRNA from 1 species
UAGCGGGCAUACCAUGCAAGUCGAACGAUGAAGCCCAGCUUGCUGGGUGGAUUAGUGGCGAACGGGUGAGUAACACGUGAGUAACCUGCCCCUGACUUCGGGAUAACUUCGAGAAAUCGUGGCUAAUACCGGAUAUGACACGUGCCUGCAUGGGUGUGUGUGGAAAGAUUUAUCGGUUGGGGAUGGGCUCGCGCGCCUAUCAGCUUGUUGGUGGGGUGAUGGCCUACCAAGGCGACGACGGGUAGCCGGCCUGAGAGGGUGACCGGCCACACUGGGACUGAGACACGGCCCAGACUCCUACGGGAGGAGCAGUGGGGAAAUAUUGCACAAUGGUGCGAAAGCCUGAUGCAGCGACGCCGCGUGAGGGAUGACGGCCUUCGGGUUGUAAACCUCUUUCAGUAGGGAAGAAGCUCCUCGGAGUGACGGUACCUGCAGAAGAAGCGCCGGCUAACUACGUGCCAGCAGCCGCGGUAAUACGUAGGGCGCAAGCGUUGUCCGGAUAUUAUUGGGCGUAAAGAGCUCGUAGGCGGUUUGUCGCGUCUGCUGUGAAAACGCAAGGGCUUAACCUUGCGCCUGCAGUGGGUACGGGCAGACUAGAGUGCGGUAGGGGAGACUGGAAUUCCUGGUGUAGCGGUGGAAUGCGCAGAUAUCAGGAGGAACACCGAUGGCGAAGGCAGGUCUCUGGGCCGUUACUGACGCUGAGGAGCGAAAGCAUGGGGAGCGAACAGGAUUAGAUACCCUGGUAGUCCAUGCCGUAAACGUUGGGCACUAGGUGUGGGAUCCAUUCCACGGGUUCCGUGCCGCAGCUAACGCAUUAAGUGCCCCGCCUGGGGAGUACGGCCGCAAGGCUAAAACUCAAAGGAAUUGACGGGGGGCCCGCACAAGCGGCGGAGCAUGCGGAUUAAUUCGAUGCAAGCGUCGAAAACCUUACAAGGCUUGAACAUACACCGGGACAGUGCAGAGAUGUGCUUCCUCGUAAGGUCGGUGUACAGGGUGGUGCAUGCUUGUCGUCAGCUCGUGUCGUGAAGAUGGUGGGUUUAAGUUCCAGCACCGGAGCGCAAACCUUGUGUCUUGUGUUUGCCGGAGGAUAGUGUGGGGAAUCUCAUAGGAAGACUGGCGGGGUUCAACUUCGCAGAGAAGUGGGGAAUGGACCGUCAGAAUCGUAUUGCAUGCCCCUAUAUGUCUUUGGGCCUACGCGCGGUGCUAUACAUGGGCGGUUACAAGGCUGCGUUACCGCGAAGUGAAGCAUCUCAAAAGGAGCGGACUCUCACGUUUCUGGUAAGCAUUGGGGUCUGCAACUCGACCCCAUGAAGUCGGAGUCGCUAGUAAUCGCAGAUCAGCAACGCUGCGGUGAAUACGUUCUCGGGCCUUGUACACACCGCCCGUCACGUCAUGAAAGUCGGUAACACCCGAAGCCGGUGGCCCAACCCUUGUGGGAGGAGCUUCGAAGAGAAUUACAUGCUACUG